AUACGGAGGAUGCGAGCGUUACCCGGAUUUAUUGGGUUUAAAGGGAGCGUAGGUGGGAUAUUAAGUCAGCUGUGAAAGUUUGGGGCUCAACCUUAAAAUUGCAGUUGAUACUGGUUUCCUUGAGUACGGUACAGGUGGGCGGAAUUCGUGGUGUAGCGGUGAAAUGCUUAGAUAUCACGAAGAACUCCGAUCGCGAAGGCAGCUCACCGGGCCGGAACUGACACUGAUGCUCGAAAGUGCGGGUAUCAAACAGGAUUAGAUACCCUGGUAGUCCACACAGUAAACGAUGAAUACUCGCUGUUUGCGAUAUACAGUAAGCGGCCAAGCGAAAGCAUUAAGUAUUCCACCUGGGGAGUACGCCGGCAACGGUGAAACUCAAAGGAAUUGACGGGG
rnacentral:rRNA from 1 species